UUACGGCCAUAGCCCAUCGUAAUACCGGUUUCCGUACGAUCAUCAAAGUUAAACAACGUCAAUCCUGGUCAGUACCUAGAUAGGUGACCGCUUGGUAAUACCAGGUGCCGUAAG